CCCCUUCCUCUUCUUUUCCUUCCUCCACAAGCUUUGCCUCCCAACUACCCCAAUCACUAAAUGGGCAGCCACCCACCUUGGCCAAUCAAGUGAAGAGCUGCCACCACUCCCUCCCUCUAUAAAACCUCAUAGCCGGCCACCCCCUCCUCUCUUUGCUCUCAUUUUUCACUCCCCACUUCUUCCUCCACUCCCUCACACUCCUCUCAUACCUCUUACCCACGAGCUGCUGCUCCUCCCAAGCUCCAUGGCCGGCCAUGGCCAUGGAAAUCCACCUAGAUGAAGCUCCCCUCCUCCCUCAAGCUUCCCCUCACCAUGAGAGCCUCCCUCUCCUUCUUCUCCCCAACCCUAGAUGGUUUUCUCUCCUCUUCUUCUUCCUCCCUUGCUAAGAUUGGAUCUUGAUGCAGGUUCAUGUUGGUCCAAGCAUGGAGAAGCUUGAGCUAUCCUCAGAUCUGAAGUUCUUGAGCAAAAUCCAAAUCGAGUGAUUCAAAGUUCCGCAGAUAGGUAUUGAAAAGAUCUACAACUUGGCGUUGGUCUCAUACUCAAAUUCGUUACGGAUUUUGCAAGAUCAAGAUCUGGUCAGAUCUGACUUUGUCGAAUUAAACCAGGAGCUUGGAAACGAAUUUUUGAAUGAAACCAAUUGGGAUGUUAUCUACCAGGGGAUAUUUGGUUUAUACCAUGGUGAUACCCGAGAAAGGCAAUUGCUAAGUUGUGAUACUCUCAUACCUUUACUAGAUGCGAACGAUUCCGGAGAAGAAGAAGAAGUGGUUCGGACAAGGAUUUUAUUUAUAUUGACGGGAUUCUUAUAUUGAUGAAGUUGAAGAAGUCCAGGGACAAAUAAGCCAAGGCAAGC